rnacentral:rRNA from 1 species
GUAGUCAUAUGCUUGUCUCAAAGAUUAAGCCAUGCAUGUCUAAGUAUAAGCAAUUACAAAGCGAAACUGCGAAUGGCUCNUUAUAUAAGUUAUCGUUUAUUUGAUAGUACCUUACUACAUGGAUAACCGUGGUAAUUCUAGAGCUAAUACAUGCUGAAAAUCCCGACUUCGGAAGGGAUGUAUUUAUUAGAUACAAAACCAAUGCCCUUCGGGGCUCUCUUGGUGAUUCAUGAUAACUUCUCGAAUCGCACGGCCCCGCGCCGGCGAUGGUUCAUUCAAAUUUCUUCCCUAUCAACUUUCGAUGCUACGGUAUUGUCCUAGCAUGGUUGCAACGGGUGACGGAGGGUUAGGGCUCGACCCCGGAGAAGGAGCCUGAGAAACGGCUACUACAUCCAAGGAAGGCAGCAGGCGCGCAAAUUACCCAAUCCCGGCUCGGGGAGGUAGUGACGAUAAAUACCGAUACAGGGCUCUUUUGGGUCCUGUAAUUGGAAUGAGUACAAUUCAAAUCCCUUAACGAGGAACAAUUGGAGGGCAAGUCUGGUGCCAGCAGCCGCGGUAAUUCCAGCUCCAAUAGCGUAUAUUAAAGUUGUUGUGGUUAAAAAGCUCGUAGUAGAAGCUCGGCCUCCGGUCGGCCGGUCCGCCUCACCGCGUGCACUGGUUCGGCCGGGGCUUCACCUUCUGCGGAACCGCAUCUCCUUCACUGGGGGUGUCGGGGAAACAGGACGUUUUUCUUGGAUCGAUUGAAGACUAACUACUGCGAAAGCAUUUGCCAAGGAUGUUUUCAUUUAUCAGGAACGAAAGUUAGGGGAUCGAAGACGAUCAGAUACCGUCGUAGUCUUAACCAUAAACUAUGCCGACUAGGGAUCGGACGGUGUUAUUUCUUGACCCGUUCGGCACCUUACGAGAAAUCAAAGUGCUUGGGCUCCAGGGGGAGUAUGGUCGCAAGGCUGAAACUUAAAGAAAUUGACGGAAGGGCACCACCAGGGGUGGACUGCGGCUUAAUUUGACUCAACACGGGGAAACUCACCAGGUCCAGACACAACGAGGAUUGACAGAUUGAGAGCUCUUUCUUGAUUUUGUGGGUGGUGGUGCAUGGCCGUUCUUAGUUGGUGGAGUGAUUUGUCUGCUUAAUUGCGAUAACGAACGAGACCUUAACCUGCUAAAUAGUCCGUAUUACCCCGGUAGUACGCCGACUUCUUAGAGGGACUAUCGGCUCAAGCCGAUGGAAGUUUGAGGCAAUAACAGGUCUGUGAUGCCCUUAGAUGUUCUGGGCCGCACGCGCGUUACACUGACGGGGCCAGCGAGUACUGCCUUGGCCGAAAGGUCCGGGUAAUCUUGUGAAACCCCGUCGUGCUGGGGAUAGGGCAUUGCAAUUAUUGCUCUUCAACGAGGAAUCCCUAGUAAGCGCAAGUCAUCAGCUUGCGUUGAUUACGUCCCUGCCCUUUGUACACACCGCCCGUCGCUACUACCUGAUUGAA